rnacentral:rRNA from 1 species
AGAGUUUGAUCAUGGCUCAGGACGAACGCUGGCGGCGUGCUUAACACAUGCAAGUCGAACGGAAAGGCCUUUCGGGGUACUCGAGUGGCGAACGGGUGAGUAACACGUGGGUGAUCUGCCCUGCACUUUGGGAUAAGCCUGGGAAACUGGGUCUAAUACCGAAUAUGAUCAUGCGCUUCAUGGCGUGUGGUGGAAAGCUUUUGCGGUGUGGGAUGGGCCCGCGGCCUAUCAGCUUGUUGGUGGGGUAAUGGCCUACCAAGGCGACGACGGGUAGCCGGCCUGAGAGGGUGUCCGGCCACACUGGGACUGAGAUACGGCCCAGACUCCUACGGGAGGCAGCAGUGGGGAAUAUUGCACAAUGGGCGCAAGCCUGAUGCAGCGACGCCGCGUGAGGGAUGACGGCCUUCGGGUUGUAAACCUCUUUCAGCAGGGACGAAGCGCAAGUGACGGUACCUGUAGAAGAAGGACCGGCCAACUACGUGCCAGCAGCCGCGGUAAUACGUAGGGUCCGAGCGUUGUCCGGAAUUACUGGGCGUAAAGAGCUCGUAGGUGGUUUGUCGCGUUGUUCGUGAAAACUCACAGCUUAACUGUGGGCGUGCGGGCGAUACGGGCAGACUUGAGUACUGCAGGGGAGACUGGAAUUCCUGGUGUAGCGGUGGAAUGCGCAGAUAUCAGGAGGAACACCGGUGGCGAAGGCGGGUCUCUGGGCAGUAACUGACGCUGAGGAGCGAAAGCGUGGGGAGCGAACAGGAUUAGAUACCCUAGUAGUCC